AGUCGAACGGCAGCACGGGGGCAACCCUGGUGGCGAGUGGCGAACGGGUGAGUAAUACAUCGGAACGUGUCCUGUAGUGGGGGAUAGCCCGGCGAAAGCCGGAUUAAUACCGCAUACGCUCUACGGAGGAAAGGGGGGGAUCUUAGGACCUCCCGCUACAGGGGCGGCCGAUGGCAGAUUAGCUAGUUGGUGGGGUAAAGGCCUACCAAGGCGACGAUCUGUAGCUGGUCUGAGAGGACGACCAGCCACACUGGGACUGAGACACGGCCCAGACUCCUACGGGAGGCAGCAGUGGGGAAUUUUGGACAAUGGGCGCAAGCCUGAUCCAGCAAUGCCGCGUGUGUGAAGAAGGCCUUCGGGUUGUAAAGCACUUUUGUCCGGAAAGAAAACCUCCGCCCUAAUAUGGUGGGGGGAUGACGGUACCGGAAGAAUAAGCACCGGCUAACUACGUGCCAGCAGCCGCGGUAAUACGUAGGGUGCAAGCGUUAAUCGGAAUUACUGGGCGUAAAGCGUGCGCAGGCGGUCCGCUAAGACAGAUGUGAAAUCCCCGGGCUUAACCUGGGAACUGCAUUUGUGACUGGCGGGCUAGAGUAUGGCAGAGGGGGGUAGAAUUCCACGUGUAGCAGUGAAAUGCGUAGAGAUGUGGAGGAAUACCGAUGGCGAAGGCAGCCCCCUGGGCCAAUACUGACGCUCAUGCACGAAAGCGUGGGGAGCAAACAGGAUUAGAUACCCUGGUAGUCCACGCCCUAAACGAUGUCAACUAGUUGUCGGGUCUUCAUUGACUUGGUAACGUAGCUAACGCGUGAAGUUGACCGCCUGGGGAGUACGGUCGCAAGAUUAAAACUCAAAGGAAUUGACGGGGACCCGCACAAGCGGUGGAUGAUGUGGAUUAAUUCGAUGCAACGCGAAAAACCUUACCUACCCUUGACAUGUAUGGAAUUCUGCCGAGAGGUGGGAGUGCCCGAAAGGGAGCCGUAACACAGGUGCUGCAUGGCUGUCGUCAGCUC
rnacentral:rRNA from 1 species